rnacentral:rRNA from 1 species
GUGGCGGACGGGUGAGUAACGCGUAAAGAACUUGCCUUACAGACUGGGACAACAUUUGGAAACGAAUGCUAAUACCGGAUAUUAUGACUGAGUCGCAUGAUUUGGUUAUGAAAGCUAUAUGCGCUGUGAGAGAGCUUUGCGUCCCAUUAGUUAGUUGGUGAGGUAACGGCUCACCAAGACGAUGAUGGGUAGCCGGCCUGAGAGGGUGAACGGCCACAAGGGGACUGAGACACGGCCCUUACUCCUACGGGAGGCAGCAGUGGGGAAUAUUGGACAAUGGACCAAAAGUCUGAUCCAGCAAUUCUGUGUGCACGAUGAAGUUUUUCGGAAUGUAAAGUGCUUUCAGUUGGGAAGAAGUCAGUGACGGUACCAACAGAAGAAGCGACGGCUAAAUACGUGCCAGCAGCCGCGGUAAUACGUAUGUCGCAAGCGUUAUCCGGAAUUAUUGGGCGUAAAGCGCGUCUAGGCGGUUUAGUAAGUCUGAUGUGAAAAUGCGGGGGCUCAACCCCGUAUUGCGUUGGAAACUGUUAAACUAGAGUACUGGAGAGGUAGGCGGAACUACAAGUGUAGAGGUGAAAUUCGUAGAUAUUUGUAGGAAUGCCGAUGGGGAAGCCAGCCUACUGGACAGAUACUGACGCUAAAGCGCGAAAGCGUGGGUAGCAAACAGGAUUAGAUACCCUGGUAGUCCACGCCGUAAACGAUGAUUACUAGGUGUUGGGGGUCGAACCUCAGCGCCCAAGCUAACGCGAUAAGUAAUCCGCCUGGGGAGUACGUACGCAAGUAUGAAACUCAAAGGAAUUGACGGGGAACCCGCACAAGCGGUGGAGCAUGUGGGUUAAUUCGACGCAACGCGAGGAACCUUACCAGCGUUUGACAUCCCAAGAAGUUAACAGAGAUGUUUUCGUGCCUCUUCGGAGGAACUUGGUGACAGGUGGUGCAUGGCUGUCGUCAGCUCGUGUCGUGAGAUGUUGGGUUAAGUCCCGCAACGAGCGCAACCCCUUUCGUAUGUUACCAUCAUUAAGUUGGGGACUCAUGCGAGACUGCCUGCGAUGAGCAGGAGGAAGGUGGGGAUGACGUCAAGUCAUCAUGCCCCUUAUACGCUGGGCUACACACGUGCUACAAUGGGUAGUACAGAGAGCUGCAAACCUGCGAGGGUAAGCUAAUCUCAUAAAACUAUUCUUAGUUCGGAUUGUACUCUGCAACUCGAGUACAUGAAGUUGGAAUCGCUAGUAAUCGCAAAUCAGCUAUGUUGCGGUGAAUACGUUCUCGGGUCUUGUACACACCGCCCGUCACACCACGAGAGUUGGUUGCACCUGAAGUAACAGGCCUAACCGUAAGGAGGGAUGUUCCGAGG